rnacentral:snRNA from 1 species
AUACUUACCGGGUGCUGGGGCCUCGUCGAUCACCGAGGAUGAGCCCCAGGGGGAGGCGCGGGCAUUGCACUCCGCUCAUGUUGACCCCUGCCACUACCCCACACUGAGGCAGAUGGGGCAUGAAAAUUGCUUAAAUCCGCUUCAACGCAAGAGACGGC